CCUACGGGUGGCAGCAGUAGGGAAUAUUGCUCAAUGGGGGAAACCCUGAAGCAGCAACGCCGCGUGAAGGAUGAAGGUUUUCGGGUUGUAAACUUCUUUUGUUAGAGAAGAAAAUGACGGUACCUGACGAAUAAGCACCGGCUAACUCCGUGCCAGCAGCCGCGGUAAUACGGAGGGUGCAAGCGUUAUUCGGAUUGACUGGGCGUAAAGAGGGCGUAGGCGGGUGUGCAAGUCAGAUGUGAAAUCCUAUGGCUUAACCAUAGAACUGCAUUUGAAACUGUUAUUCUAGAGUAUGGGAGAGGUAGGUGGAAUUCGUGGUGUAGCGGUAAAAUGUGUAGAGAUCAAGAGGAACACUCAUUGCGAAGGCGGCCUGCUAGAACAUAACUGACGCUGAGGCGCGAAAGCGUGGGGAGCAAACAGGAUUAGAUACCCCAGUAGUC
rnacentral:rRNA from 1 species